rnacentral:rRNA from 1 species
UACGAAGGGGGCUAGCGUUGUUCGGAAUCACUGGGCUUAAAGGGCGCGUAGGCGGUCGACCAAGUCAGGGGUGAAAUCCCGCAGCUUAACUGCGGAAGUGCCUUUGAUACUGGUCGUCUGGAGGGAGAUAGGGGUGUGUGGAACUUCCAGUGGAGCGGUGAAAUGCGUUGAUAUUGGAAGGAACGCCGGAGGCGAAAGCGACGCACUGGAUCUCUUCUGACGCUGAGGCGCGAAAGCUAGGGGAGCAAACGGG